AUAAGAAUCACUUGGAGAUCUUGUUGAAAUUCUGAUCUGAUUCAGCAUUUCAGUAGCCUGAGAUUCUGCAUUUUUUAACUAGCUUGCAAAGUGGUACCAAU
rnacentral:miRNA from 1 species